rnacentral:lncRNA from 1 species
GCUGGAAUCCCAGCUUUGACAUUUAUUAGCUUUGGGACCUUAGGCGAUUUUUGUCACCUCUCCGUGCCUUUGCAUUCUCGUCUAUAAAACGGAGAAAAUAAUUAUGUCUAUUAAACGGUAUAGGUGUAAGAGUUAAGUAAGGCACACGGUGAGUGCCUGACACUAGCAGGUGCUUUGUAAAUGCUUUCCGAAUAAAACAAAAGGAACAACUGUCUUCUAAAUUCAAGUUCUUGUAAAUAGUGUAUAAACUGAAUUGGAAUCUUUUGUUAGGUCCUAUGUCUACUGCUCCCUUCAACUUUAAAGGGAAAACGAUGAACCAGCUACAUCGCCACCAGCGUAUUUACCCCCAAAGACAUACACGUUUUCCUGGAUUCUGAUCAAUGGAGAUGAGAAUUGCCUGAUGUCCAGCCUGCUCUGUGUGCAAAUGCAAAAUGCACACCUUGCUUUCUUUUUGGUUCCCUCUCAGUUUGUGUUUCUGGCUACAGCGGAACAGAUGGAGUUUAGAGAAUCUUCUGACCAAGGCAACGUGGACUCCGCAUUUUCAAGCGAUGUUGCCGGGCACCAGAGCCGGGGUUAACUGUGCGAUGGAAGGCUUCUCACUCCAGUGCUCUGUUCUAAGUGCGAUUCAGCCCCACUCCAAGGAUUGCUUUUCUCUCUUCUGUUACUUUCUGGAGAGCCAGAAAUGAGGAUAUCGUGGCACAAAUCCGUAUAAAAAAUAGGUAUAGUUAACCAAAACACCAUCCUUAUAUUAUCUACGAAAUCACUUUGGUUGUUCUUCCUGAUAUGGAAUUAGCAGACUUCAAUGAGCAUAAGGAAAAAGCUGAAUAGGCCUCCUCUCUGGUUCACGUGCACAUGAAGUUCUUUGCUAACGGAUCCUUUCUAGUGGUGCUCAGAACUAAGCCUCAUAAUUCAAUCUAAGCACAAUGAGCUGCAACACGGAGUGAAUCAUUACUUGUGAGAAAGGCUCUGACUGUGUCUGUAAAACUGCCCCUCGUACUCUCUCAUUAUGCUUUCCUCCCCCCCUCCUCAUUGCUUUGCCAGUGUAUUGAUUCGUAUUUUUUUUUAAUUUCUAUUUUCUUUUCCUUCUGUUUGUUCCACUUUCUGUCCUUAUUUUCCUAACUGCAGCAGAAACUCAACCCACUCCCCUGUGAGGGAUGGAGUCCCUUAAUGAAACAAUUGGCGAUAAGGAGCUGGGCUCCUCACACACUGUCAAUAACUAUCUUUGAAGUUUAAAGGAGAAGCAUGAACCUUGUCAGCUCGGAGGAGCCAACUCACUUUGUAAUUUAAGCGGAGCAGUUCGACCCAUCUAUUGGAGGCAGUGGGAGAGGGGGAGGCUUGACCCACUUCACAUU